rnacentral:tRNA from 1 species
GGGCGGGCACCGGGCGCCGGAGAGCCCAACUGACUGUAAAUCAGCCGUUUUUAACUGUGGGGGUUCGAGUCCCUCCCCGCCCACCA